UUUUUUUUUAGAAAAGAAAUUCCACCAGUUCAUUUGAAGUCUGAUCAGUGCUGGGCGAACAGAUUAAAUUCUCUUUAGAGUAGCAAAUCUUAGGACUAUAAGGUGAAGAGGAACUAGAAAGUCCAGCCAUACCUAAGUCCAAGCUAGCCACUCUGAUCCUUUUCUCUAUUGUAUUCCAUUAAAGACCCUGAUAUCUGGGACUAGAAUUCCUGAGCACUAUAUACCCAUGACCUGGUCUGGAAGUAGCUCUUCUUAGCUGUCCUAUCAUGCCCUCAGUGACUCCGGGUCUCUGAGACGAGUGUCCUGAAACUCUUGAAUUCUCACAUGCUCUUUCAUCUUUCCCUCUUUUUUGGUCAAUCCAACCAUUUCAUGGCUUCCUGUUGAAUGUUAUUUUAUAAUAAUAUGGUUUAUGUUAUUAAUACUCUUUAAUGUUAUUCAAACCCAUCUUCUAUCAUGUCAUUGCUCAAAAAGCUUCAACAGUUUCUUACGGUCAAGCCCACUGUGUGAGCUUCUUAACUGGGCAUUCAGAAUCCUCCCCAAUAUCUUCCACUACCUAUGAUUUAUAUUUUAGCCAAACAAGACCCUUGAUAAUCUUGAACUUCAUCGCAUGUCUGCAUUUCUGUACCAAUCCCAAAAUGAAAUCUGAAUCCCAAACUGAAAUCUGGUUCAUAUUUCAUGAAACAGCUGGUUUUUACACCCACAUCUUGAAAUCUCUUUCUAUUCCCUCACCUAGAUACAAACUCUCCAAGGGGCCAGUAGAGUGCAGUGGCCACAAUCUUGGAUUCUAAAACCCAGUUGUCAAGGUUCAAAUCCCAGUCACACCGUGUGCUGACUGUGAGAUCAUAUACAAGUCUCUUUUCACUUCACAUCUGUUUCCUGAUCUGGAAAAUGAAGAAUAUUAAUCAGAUAUUAAAUGAGAUAACAUACAUUUAAUCUAGUCUGUGGAACCCUGUAAGCAUGCAGCAACUGCGAGCUAUUAUGGCAGAUGCUGUUGCUAGCCCACUCACAUCCACUUGGUAUUUGUCUCUACAUUCUCAACCUGUUUAUAGAAAACAUUUGUGACUCUAUGUAGUCAAGAUAGCAUGCUCAGCUCUCAUACAGGGCUGAGCAGAAGUGCCUAAGAUGUAAUCAAUCUCCCAAGAAGCGACACUCAGACAAUGACCGUUGGAGAGUCAAUGGAUGAAUACCGCUUGUUAGGAAUAACCCUGAAACCUAUUCUAGAGUGUGGACAGCAUAGAAUCUCUUAUUGUCUCUCAGAGUUCCCCAGCAGGCUCUAACAUCAGUUGCCCGCAAUGGUAAUUGGCUUGGCAGAUACCUUUCAUCAGCUUCUUUGAUCCCCUAACUUACUCUCCACUCUCUUUUAUGUAUUUCCUGGGAUAAUUUCCCAAAACUACUUGGAUUCUUGUCUUGGGGUCGGCUUCUGGAGGACUCUAAAACCAUAUCUGCUCUUAACACUAUAGCUGAGUUCUUUGAAACCACCAGAAUACUGCUUUGUUUGCAUUAGUCUUCUGCUAGUUAGAGUCUACCUUCAUAAAACCUAAAAUCCAACAAAAAAUUAAGACCAAAAUACAUGUAUUUCUCAACAGUGCCUAGCACAGUACCUCUUACAUAGAAGUUACCCAAUCUGUAUUUAGAGAAGAAAGAAUAAUGGUAGAUCAAAAGAUUACUCUAUGAAUAUAAAAAUAGAGCAAGGACUAUUGAUUGGUUACUAAGAAUAUUUUGCAAACUUUUAUGAUUCAACACAUCCUUUUAAUGUGGAUAGGUCUACCUAAUACACUUGCAGCUUCUCAAAGUCCCCUCCCCUCAACAUCAGCGUCAGGACUCCUCGCCCACCUCUGGCUAGAUUUGAGAGGUACUUGCCAUUAUCUCAUCAUUAUCUUAUCAUGUUAAUGUACUUGCGUAACCUUUUAUAUUUUCUAAAUAUGAAAAAUAUUUUACAGAGAUUAUAUUUGACACAGCUGCUUCCUGAAGACCCAGAGGUCACUUUUAUCUUAUAAGCACAUUCUUCAGAUUGUCGUGUGGGUGGGUAACUUCCGCCAGACUUUUCUGGAGAUGGCUAAUCCAGCCGUGGGAUGUGGUUUCUUCUAACAGCCAGUCAGGAAAAUCCUGCUUCUCAAAACCCUGUCUUGACCCCUUCCUGAACUUUGCCUCCUAGAUCUUGAGGUCUGCCUUCUGUGGAAGAGAAAUUCUAGAAUCAAUAAACUGAACUAGAGCCCUGGGAUUAUCAACAGGUAAUGGUGAUACUGCAGUGGAUGGCUGCAUGAGAUUUGUGAUUACAGACUUGAGAGUGGCUGUCACCUUUGGUGCUACCAGAAGUAGCUUUCAAAACUGUCCUUCUAUAACAGAGAGUUCUAGAAGGGUGGUCCAUGGACCAUCUAUAUUAGAAGGGCUUCUGGCUCUGCUUUGCUUGCAGAUUACUGGUCCUGCUCAGGCACACUGAAUCAGAAUUAGUUGUGAGGAUGCUUCAAUUUGCAUUUUUAAACAAACUCCUCAGGUGAUAAGGUGACCAAAUUAUCCAAGUUUUGGCAUUGAAAGUCCCACAUUCAGGAAAGCCUUUAGUCCUGAGACAUUUGGUCUCCACGUGGGUAUGUCUUAUGUACACUGAAUUCUUAAAGCUGUCUUACACCCCAAGGUAUGCCACACUAACACAGAUGCUGCUUCUACUUGGUAAAAAUCUCUGAGACUUUGAGAUGACUUUAAUCCAGUGUGACAUUGGGUGGGGAGCUCCCUCAGACAUCCAUCUUGAUAAGAUCCUUCCAUGGGAACUUGAGUGUUUGAGAGACCCAGAGUGUUUGUUUUGUUACUUUACUUUUCCUUUCUUUUGAACUUCAUGUGCAAGGAGUUGAACUUAGUCUUGAGUUUAUAGUACACAAUUUUAUUCUAUAUCUGCAAGGCCCUUCUCUGGAUUUAUGUGGUUAUUUAUUUGCAUUUCCCCACCAGCUCUCCAUGCCCAGCAGGCAAACAUUACAAUAUGAUUGUUUUAUACUCUGAAUUUGUUUGUAUCUUUGUAAAGCAUAUAACAUUGUUCCUAGGUAUUUUAAUUUAAACAAAUUGUAUUCUGCUGCAGACUUCACCUUAACUCUUGCCUUUUUCUGUUAAGUAUUGUGUUUAAUGCUGUAUCAUCCUUUGAUCUGUUGUUUCUUGUGUAGGCAGCUCUUAAGGUGACUCCCAGUGAUGAUGCCCUGUUGGUACCCAUGUCCCUGUACAAUCACCUUACCUUGAUCAUGGACUACACCUAGUGACUUGCUCUUAGUGAACAGAAUGUGGCAAAAAGUGACAGUAUGUUACUUUUGAGACUAAGUUAUAAAAACCCUUUGUCUUCCUCUCUUGUGCCCUCCCUUGCUCGCUCUGGUGGAAGUUAGCUGAAAUUUUGAGAACCACCUUACAGAGAACCUAACAGCAAAGACUGGAGAGAGGCUUCCAGCCAACAGCCAGCAAGGAAUUGAAGCCCUCAGUCCAAUAGCAGAAGUGAGGAACUGAAUCCUGCCAACAGCCUCGUGGAUGAGUUGCUUGCUGCCUGAUUCUAACUCCUGCUACUACUACAAACACCACUGCCAUGAAUAUCUUCAGCAAGCCCUCCUUCCAGACCUGCACGAACAGUUGCGUGAAAUGUAUACACACAAAGGGAUUGCAACGCAAGACCUAGAGACUAGGGGAGAACUUGGAACAAUAAUCUCAGUUUCUUCAAUUCCUAAACUGAGAGUGUUGCUGUUUUUAAACGAAGGCCGACUGAUUCACGCUGGGCUUCAGAUAUGAGAGGUUAGGAGUAGGAGGCAUGCCUCGUUCAAAGAUUCUUGGCAACACAGAGGCCACUGGAGAGAGGCAUAACCUUGCGUGGCAGCUGCACUGGAAAUGGAUUUGUCUCAGAUGUUUCAGAUGACUAAGGUGAGUGAUCAAGCUGGAUAUUUUUGCAUGACAACCAAAGUGUGAUGAGAAAGAAAGAAGAUUCAGUUGGGUAGAUGGUAAAGUUUUGUGUACCGUUUCAUCUUUUUAGUAUUGGAAUUGGGAUUUUUAGCUCUUAUUCAUAGUGUCAAUGCUGCUUAGUCUUUCUGAGACAUCAGGCAAAUUCUCUUUUUCCAUGUUUCAGAUUUCUCCUUUGUAUAAUAAGGGGCUUAGAUUCUGUGGUUUCUAAAAGACCCUUCCAGUUCUAGAAAUCUCUGAUCCUAUGAUAUAUUACCCCUUAGAAAUGAUUAGUUUAACUAAAAAGCAUGUAAAUUUCUUAUCUUCAAAAGAAAGACAUGCCUUUGCCACUACCCCCACUCUCCCACUUUGUGACAUGGAGGAGAUUGAGAAGAUGCUGUUUAGUGACAGACCAGAUUCCUUUGGAGACCAGGGAGUGGGGGGAGUACAAAUAUCAUAUUCAGGACAGGAAUUCAGACUUGAAUGCUGCAAGUCUUGCCUCUCAACUCUCCAUGCUCUAUCAAUAUUAUUAUUUAUCCACUGACUUUCCUGAGCAGGAAAGAGAUCAGGGCAAGUAGCAUAUAAUAUCCUUCUUAUUCCCAUGCAGAUGUCUGAGGCUUCUUUCCCCUUUCGUCCAAUCUGAUUUGUAUGUCUUCUUGGUUAAUACCCCCAGAGUGCUCUAGGCUGCUUUCUGCCUAAAUAUCACAUAAAUCAAAGUGUGUCAUCUUGCAGCGGUGAGGAGAGGUGGAGAAUCAGCCAGGAGCAAGAUGCUAAGGACAGACUGAGCCACCCCAUUUCCCUACUUCCCAGACCUUGUUCUUUCCCUCCUGCAAAGCCUUAGGAAGGCCUCAUGGGGGGAGCUUGAACUCAUUCCCACCCACUCCUGAUGGUUCCAGCUACUCAACCUUUUACCAAAUGGCUCUGCACAGCUGUUUCUAGUUACGUGUCUAUUUACUUUGUUGGUGUACGUGUGCUUGUGUACCAUGUGUGCAUCUUAUCCCCUCAGUUCCCCAGCUACCCAAGGCCUCCAGUGAAUCCACAUGAGGUCAUUUAGAAUCCCGAGUGGAAACAAUCACAAAGCAACAUAAUGUUCAAAUUCAGGAAGCAUUUACAAAGGUUGUAUGCAUCUUCUCUGUCAUUCAUAAAGGCAAGGGAAGUUAGAAUUCAGGAAAUAAGAUGCAAAGACUCAUGAAUGUCUUCAGAUUCCAAAAGAGUAAACUUUACUACUGGAGUAAAACUAGGUUGUAAUCCUCUUGAAACAGACACUUUUUCCUUUUUUAAUCACCUAGAUGACAAAUGUAAGACUUAUCCCUGACUUCAUCCAUUCAUUUGUUCAUUCAUUAAUUCAACAAACAUUUAUUGAGUUUCUCCAUGUGCACUGGACUGCUCAAAGCUCUAUAGGAGAUACAGUAAUGUGCUUUGCUGCCUCUGAAUGGAGCAGGGUCCCUCCCAGCCUAUGGGCAUGGCUAAAUUUUAAAAGGAUUCUUCUGCUUGUCUUCAACUUCAAAGGUCAGUCUGAACAUGGAGUGAAAUCACCAGUGUCCCUGGCAGGGAGAGACCUUGUUCCACACCCAACACAUCAUCCUAAUAGUAGGCUUUUGACACAGUCCUAUUAAAUAAUGAACCAUGUCUCUGUCUAAUUUUAUAUAAUCAGUGCUCCAAAAUUCAGAAACUUUGCCUCUCAGAGGUCGAUCAGCAAGCUCAGUGAGUUCCUACAAACCAGCUUGUAAGGAAUUCCGGUCUGGAGGCAUGCUCCCCAUUCUGCCUGCCAUGAUUGCCAAAUGGUGGCUUUUCUAAUUUUUUCAUUCCUUUCUGCAUUUAUUAAUUGACUUUCUAAUAUAAGGAAGAGCAUUCUUUUCCUUCUACUCAUUUAGUUAAAUCAGAAAAAUCUGAUUGAAUUUAAUAGGCUGUAAUCCUUUACUAUUACAAAUUUAUUUUGAUGUCUACAAUGUCUCAGAGUUGGCCAGUAGAAGAGCCCACAAUUUGGCUUCUGUAUCCUUUGGAAAUGUCUCCAUCAUUCUUUGGGAACAUUCUUAAUUUCUGAAAAAAUAUAUACAUAUUUCAGGUUCAUCUUUUACUUUCUCUCCCUUAGCCACAGAAUCAGUCAUUUUUUUUUUCAAAGGGCCCUAAUUCCUUUUAGUAGAGAAUAAUAUUUAAAAACCAAGAUCAGGAAGCCAGGUGGUCUCACUGCACUGCAAUUCCUUGGUUUUAGACCCUCUAAGAACACACAGCUAGGAAAUAUAUGUAUGUACACACACACACACACACACCCCUGCACCCACAUACAUUUCCAUAUUUAUAUCCACAUAGGUCGAUCUCUUUUUGUAGCUGUUACAUAUUAUACGCCAUGCAUUCUCACUGAAAGCUCCGAUUGCAAUCCAGCACCACCGAAAUGUUGCCAACAUUUCCCCUCAGCAUGUUUGUAACUACCUUUUCUGAAAAGGAGGACACUGGCUGCCAUCUUCUAUAAUAUAUUUACUUAUUUGCUCAAUACUAGAAUUCCCACAGAAUAGUUUCAGAAUUGCUAUCCUAAGCAAGCCUCACUCCACAGCACCAAUGAUUGUUUAGAAUUUUAUUCUUUGGCCCGAGGACAUCUUGUCAAAGAAUACAUAGGUUAGUUCUUUCUUUAGCAUCAGGUUAGUUCUUCUUUAGCACCAGCCUUAUUUCCCCUCCUCAACAUCUCUUUGAGACAUGCCCUGAAUCUUUGUUUUAGCCAUCUCCAAAAUAAGCUAAAGCCUCAUUUUUGGUGCUCUGGUGCUGCUGCUGGAGCCAACACAUGUCUCUCUGGAACACCAAGUAAAUAUUCAAUGCAUGUUUGCUCACUCCGCCUUCCUGUGAAGCUAAUCCAACAAAUAGAUGACAGAAAUAUCUUCAUUUCCACAAAUGCGCUUGUGAGCUUAUAAUAAGAGUCUUAUCUCCCAGGGCUAUCCACAUUCCCAUGGCUUCUCCAUUCCCCACGUUUAGAUACCAAAAUCUUUCUUCACUUUCAGACAAGUCUUAAUUCAUCUUCCCUAUAAAGGCUUCGUAAUACCUCUUUACCUAAACUUAGAGCAUAGCCCCACAAAUGCCAUGUUCAUAGAUUUAGAAGCUCUUUUCAUAUUUAUCAAGUUCUCACAUUCUCCAUCUUUCAUAUUUUAAAAUAUUUAUUUAAUUAAAUUUAUGAGCCAGAAAUUGAAAAACAUAUGGAGUGAAGGGAAGGAAAGAAGGAAAAAAAUAGCCCAUUCAUUCAACUUUCCCCAGCUGCCAUUCCUGACUCGGGAGAUUUGGCUGAGUUCUUGGGUAAUGCCAUGCAAUAAAACUUCCAUAGGGUGCCAAAUUUAGGUCCAGCAUGAAAAGAAAACAAAAUCCCUCCUAUAAGACAAACUAUUCAAUUUGGAAAUGGGAUUUUUUUUAAAGUCCUGCAUUAAACCUUCAUAGUGAUUUUUUCCACAAGGGCGAGAAUCAGCCCACCCCUUGGAAAGCUUCUGAAUGGGGCAGUAUAGAAAAUUUUAAGAAACAUUUAUUGCUCUGAAUGGAGAACUGUUACUUCUGGGGGCUCUGCUUUCUCCUUUUUGGAUAGAAUCCACUCUGCCCUAUCCUGGCUGGAAGAAGAAAAGGUGUAGCGUGCAGGCAGGGAGGAUGAUUCCAGGUGCUGGAAACUGCACAAUGGGUGCUAUUCUUUGUUAUUUGCAAUCCAUCUUUCUCAAAGUUGGCUCACAAGAAGUACAUCUUCUUGGACCCUCUGGACUAACCUACCUGAGAACAUGGGUGGGUGCUUUCUCAACACAUAUAAGGUCCAACAUAUGACAAGUGACAGAGUGAGAUGAAGCUUUCCAAACUGGCACGAGUAUUGUACAGUUUCAUAUAUGGUCCGGUUACCUGGUUACUUAUGGUCUGGUUACCUGGUUACUUUUAUUGUCCUGUCUCUACCUAUGUAUGUAUGUAUCUCCACCUAUGUUCUACACACACACACAUACAUUAUAUAUAUGUUAUGUUGCGGUUAUAUUUUAUUCUCACUUUUAAGAUGGAAAGUUUUGCAUUCCAGGAAACCCUCAGUCCUGAGAAGACUGGGGCAUUAGAUCACCCUGUGUUGCAGACUUUUUCAAAUGGCAAGUAUUAAUUAUUACUUAGAUUGCACAUAUAUUUAUGCUCCAAACUAAAAUGCUCUGAAACCACACCUUUAAUAGUUGGAAUUCCAGGCCCUCUCCAUGGUUCUUUUGACCUGCUAUUGCAGAGAAUACUCUGUGGCUGUGAAUAAAUCUUGGUCAAUCUUCUAUAAGCAAGAAAGGAGCCUAGAUGCUCCCCUCAAGAUAAGACCCUGAAAGAGAAUUCUGGUUGUCACCACGUGAUCUGCCAGGGUUUCCUAAUGGAUCUGCUAUUUCAAAUGACGAUCAACCUGAUUCGGCAAAGCCAGAGGCCCCUCUCAUGGCCUGUGUGCAGUGAGAAGCUCCUCUGUGUGUCACUUGAAUGUCGAAGUGGCACAGCAUUUAUAUUGAAAUAGUGAUAACGCUUUGCUCACAGGACACACGUGCCCAUUUGGAUCCAGGCAAGUUUCAGUUCAGGCAGCACACUGUUUCCACUACUUCUUUCUCAUGGUGAUGUACAGUCUAGUUUGUAAAUCCAGACUUUCGCUUUCCUUGGAGUGAGUUCCUUCUCAGGAGUCUUGCUCUGCUGUCCUGUGGCUUAUCAUCAAUUGGGAAUACGCUAGUUUAUUAGACACUGGGUGCGCAAUUCUCGUACUGCCCAUCUCUUCCUGUACCUAUGGUUGCAUGGAUAAAAAGGGAAGGCAGAUCACCCAUGUUUACCUGCCAGGAGCACUUGAACCCCAGAAGAAAACUCGUCUAUCACAGAGGGUGGGAAAGGAAGAGUUGAGGAGAAGGACUCUGCCAUGGUAACUGGGCUGCAGGCCCUACGACCAGCCAAAAUAUUUUACGGCAUGGCAUUUUAUAACACAUCAUCAUUGUCUUAGUCAGUCUGGGUGACUAUAACAAAUUACCAUAAACUGGGAGGCUUAUUUCACAGUUCUGGAGACUAAAAGGCCAAGAUCAAGGUGUUGGUAAAUCCAAUGUCUGUUGAGGGCCCACUUCCUGCUUUGUAGAUGUCCGUCUUCUUGUUGUAUCUUCACAUGGCAGAGAACAGAGGGAGGAAGCAAGGUCUCUCACGUCUCUUUUAAUAGGGCAUGAAUCCCAUCAUGAGGGCUCUAUCUUCAAGACUGAGUUCCCACUUAAAGGUUCCAUCUGCAAAUACCGUCAUCACAUUGGGGAUUAGAGUUUCAACAUAUGAAUUUGGAGAGGGACGUGAACAUUCAGUCCAUAGCAACCAUUCAUGCACUGGGGCUGUGUAGGGGAUAGACACUUUAUUCAGCUGCAAAUUCAUCUUGUACAAAGUUUCUCUUCUACAAUGUCAUCAAGUUCUCUCAUCUUUUUCUUCCCCAAACACAGUAAUCUGAAUGGGUUGAAACCAUUUUCUGAUGGAAAUAUACACCUUAGACCAGUGGUCCCCAACCUUUUUGGUACCAGGGACUAGUUUCAUGGAAGACAAUUUUUCCACAGACGGUGGGGUGGGGAAUGGUUUCAGGAUGAUUCAAGCACGUUGCAUUUGUUGUGCUCUUUAUUUCUGGUAUUACAUUGUAAUAUAUAAUGAAAUAAUGGUGCAAUUCAUGAUCAUGUAGAAUCAGCAGGAGCCCUGAGCUUGUUUUCCUGCAACUAGAUAGUCUUAUCUGGGGGUGAUGGGAGGCAAUGACAAAUCAUCAGGUAUUAGACACUCAUAAGAAGCGUGUGACCUGGAUCCCUCCCAUGCACUGUUCACAAUAGGGUUUGUGCUCCUUUGAGAAUCUAAUGCCAUCACUGAUCUGACAGGAGCCAGAGCUCAGGUAGUAACGCAAGUAAUGGGGAGUGGCUGUAAAUUCAGAUGAAGCUUUGCUUGUUUGCUGCUCACCUCUUGCUGUGCUACCCAGUUUCUAGCACACCACAGACCAUUACCAGUCUGUGGUCUGGGGGUUGGGGACCCCUGCCUAAGACUAUUGCUCAUUGUCCUGUGCAAUUCUGAUACAUUCCAUAAUGCUGGCAAAUUCACCACUAUUAUUCUCAUUAUUAUCAGCAUUAGCAGUAGUAGUCGUAUUCUCAAUAGCUAACAUCUGUUUAAUAACUUGAUGUUACUAAUAUUCUUUGACAAUCCUGAAAAAAUGGGUAAUUGAGAGAAUUUACAUGUGAUAACUUGAGAUAAUAAUGCAUUUCUAACAAGAACAUGGAGCCUCAGGAGGUUCAGUAACUUCUUUAAGGUCACCCUGCUAGCAAGUGGCUAUCUCCAUUUUUAUUAAAUUCAAGAGAACCCGAAACCUCCCUGAAGUCUGCUAUCUCUAGGUCAUUUAAACAGAGAGACACUUGAGAGAAAGGAUAAAACCCCAGAGAAAAUGAUGGGGAGCAGCUCCACAAAUAUUAGCAACUGGAGGCAUCCCAAGUAAGGAGGAGUUUUGAAUCCAUGAUAACUUUGCAGAGGAUGUUGUUAUAGGGAAGGUCAAAACAGAGCUGUCUGAAAGCUGUCCCCACCCACUACAGAAGCAAGAAGGCCUCCAGGCUGAAAAGAUACGGGAGGCAAUUCAAUACAGCUGCCCUUAGCAGGAUAGCACUUUGAUAUUCUCCUUUAAACAUUUAUUUUCUAAUUUAUUGAAAGGCGAUAGUCAUUGCUACACGGGGAAAGGGUGGAGGACGGUAACCCUUGCUGGAUGCCUUCUACUUCUCUCCUUGCAAAAUAAUUUGCUGCACUUUUUCUUUGGAAAAUGAAUUAUAGCAUCAACAGAUUCACCCUCCUCAGAAAGGAAUUUUAGCAGUCAUCAGUCCUCCAGCAGGCCCCCUGGGGGUCUCGCAUUGUCUGUUUGCACCUGCAGCCCUUCCCCCAAUGUGGCAUGUCCUCAUAAUCUUUGACAACUUCAUGGAAUGCCCGUCCUGGGAAAUCCAAUUUUAUCCAUUUUGCUGCAUUUCUGGGUGCAUUUUAGCAUUUCUUAUGGAUUAGCACUUCAAGCAGCCAUUUCAUAAGCGUAUUCUCCAUCUAUCUUGGCAUUUAUACACAGACAUCAAAUUGUAUUAGAAUUGAAAAUGGGAGGGGGAAGAAGGGAGAGGUGGAGAGUAUCUGAGUAAUCAAUUGGGUUCUCUCCUGCCCUUAGGCUGUGUUGACACAGCUUAGCUCUCGCCUGCUCCUCCCAGACAAGCUUAUCUGCUGCACACUGAACUCCAUUAAUCUUCUUGAAAGGCAAAUGUGUUCAGGACAAUGUUAACACUUAGCUCUCCUGAAAAGAAGACAGAUUCUAUGAGGUACAGAGUCAGGGCUCCAGGGCCUGCACUGGCAGCUCAGACAGGCCUCAGCCAGAUGGAUUCUGUGUGGAAAGAGAGUGGAGAGCAGAGCCAUGGGCUUUGUGAACCCGAAUACCAGCAUCAAAUCAGGUCCAACUAAACCAAACCAAACUAAGGGAAACCAAAUAUCAACAGAAAACAAAGCCAGCCCAAAGACAACAAUGACCGAAUAAAUGCCUGGCCCAUUUUAAGGCAGCAUUAGCCAGAUUUACCUUUGGGUUUCAAGCGGACAAAACAAUUAAAUGAUCAUUAUUCUUUAAAUUUUAACAAGUGAUUGGCAUUGUGUGAGGAGUCCACACAAUAAUAAUAAAUGACUUCAGAGAAAGAAGUAUUGUAGAGUAUGUAUUUUUGGCCAGAAAGAAACCUAAAGCAUUUCCCUUUGAUCACUGUUGCAUUCUCUGCCUUGUGGAGAUCAGAGCUGCCCUCACACAGACAAGAGGAUGAUCCACCCGACCCUGUCCAGGAGGCCCUGCUCCAAGAUGUCCCCUGACACCACACAGUCUCUGGGAUCACUGGAAAGAGGAAUGAAUUGAUAUCUGUUUUCUGGGCCCCUUUGUGCUGAUUCUCCCAUGUCAUGUCACCCCUGUCCCCCUGCCUCCUUCUUUUGUUUCAAUAAGGAGAUUUGAUAGACCAUUCUUAUCACUCAUAGAUCUACAAUCCCUGGCUGCGUCCAUUUGCUAGCAACCCUGAAAGACAUAGGGUAAUUUUUAAUGUUUCCAGGGCAGGAAUUUGAAUGGCCAUCUAGCUCUCUCCUGCACUCUAGUAUCACAGUAUUCAUUUAUUAGAUAUGAACCGAAUCUGGGAGGAGGGGGUUGCUUCUCAGUAGGGCUUUGUUACAAGAGCUAUGGAAACAAUUUAAUGCAACUUCAUUGACUUACAUUGAGUGAUUUUUUUUAAACCUGCCAUAUAUCCAUCACAGACAUCCAGAACCUAUUGUAUGUGUAGCCCCCAUCUCCAUGCUCAUUUUGGGUAGGAAAGUGUCUGGGUAGGAAAGCAGGGGAGACAUGCCGCACUGGUGGCCAAUUGGUUCACUUCUAGUGGUAAGUAAUAGGAAUCCCAAUUUUGGCCACUUGAUUUUAUGUCCCCAAACCAGUUUUCCAGGAUUAUUUAUGGCUCCAUGCUUUGCACUUAUAGAGUGGCCUCAGAAGACUUUUCUCCAUUAACAAUCCCAUCAGGUGACUUUGAGAGCCACUUCCAUGAGAUGGCUGUGUUGACAACUCAGAGAGUUCCAUCACAAGGGCUGACUCAGUCUGAAACAAUGACAGCACAUAGAUGUAAGGCAACACGUGAAAAGCAGAGGUCAGACUUUCCAACAUUGACUACUCUGGCUUUGAUUACAUCAGGUAGAUGCGUGGCACUGAAACUGGAGAAUUCCCUGAUGCCCCUCACAAGACGUUCGACAGGGAUGUGGGCUGCCUGUUCAGUCGCCCUGCUGCUGAAACCCCUUGUGGGAGGGAGCGCAGGCAGGCAGGCAGGUGCAGAGGCUGGAGUGAGUGCUUUGGGCUUCAGCCCCAUGGUAGUGUCUAGGGAUGGGUGCUGCAACCCCAGUGUUACAAAGCUCUUCCAGCUUUGCUGUCCACAGAUGGCUUGAGUGUUAACCAGCUCAGUGGACCCUUUUUUUUAAACAAGGGCAGAAGGCCAGUGAGACAGCUUUCUGUAUCCCAAGCUCUUGCUCAGUGUCCCAGAAAAAUUGGGUCACACACGGUCUUGAAGGAUGAAUGUGAGGUUUUAUAGAGUGGUGGAGCUGGCUUUCAGCUGGAUAGAUGGGAACCCAGAAGCCGGGGAUGGAACGGGACAGUGAUCUUCCCCUGGAGGUAGGCUGCCCAGUGGCUGGACUCCUCUCCAACCACCCCCAGCUGAACUCCUCUCGGUGCUCAGAUGUUCCUCCUCUUCCUUCUUUCUCUGCCACAUCAUUUGGCUGUCCACCUGCUGGUCUGCUGGUUUGCUGGUCUGCUUCUGGAGCCCGGGCUUUGGGGUUUACAUGGGUGCAUAAUAGGGGGCAUGGCAGGCCAAAAGGCAACUUUUGGGGCACAAAACAGGAAUGCCUGUCCUCAUUUAGUGCCACGUGUCUUCAGGCCUGAGGGUGGGGCCUUUGCCAGGAACCACCCUCUUCUACCCAGUAUUUCGUUCUCCCGUCCGUAUCACCCCCCUUUUGCAAUUGCUCAUGGUUAGGCUAGCUACUGCCCUCUUGACUUAGUAAAUACCCUAUAGCCACUAUCCCCAUAGACAUGGCCUGU